rnacentral:rRNA from 1 species
AUUGCAGAAUUCAGUGAAUCAUCAAGUUUUUGAACGCACCUUGCACCUUUUGGUAUUCCAAAAGGUACACCUGUUUGAGUGUCA